ensembl:snoRNA
AUGGCCCUGACUGAAGACCAACAGUUGUUCUGUAGCUGCUGAUUUCAAGCAGAGGCCUAAAGGACUCUCUUCCUAUGGUCUGUUGGCUGUUCUGGGACCUCAGCAGGGAAUGGCUUUUUCAUUUGGAAGAAACAACU